rnacentral:ribozyme from 1 species
AGUCGGUCCACACACGUACUAAUAGUGUGGGAAGACAGCUAGCAAAACACCGCGUUUAAUAUGUUUAUUUGGUUUAAGCACGCGGGCAAAUUACCUAGC